GGCUUUGUGAUGUAAUCGGCUAGCAUGUCAGACUCUGAAUCUGUAUAUCCGAGUUCGAGUCUCGGCAAAGCCU